rnacentral:tRNA from 18 species
GAUCGCGUGGUGUAACUGGAUAACAUCUGAGUCUACGAAACUCAAGAGUGAAGGUUCGAUUCCUUCCGCGAUCGCCU